AUCCCAUGAUGUGGACAAUUUCUAAUCAGAGCCUUGAAUCUCUCCCAAGCAUCACAGAGAGAUUCGUUGUCGAGCUGAAUAAAAUUAUUAAUCUCCCCUUGUAGCU